GAGAACAGAAAUGUUUUCUGGUGUGCUGG
rnacentral:piRNA from 1 species